rnacentral:tRNA from 1 species
GGCGUGGUAGCCAAGUGGUAAGGCAAGGGACUGCAAAUCCCUUACACGCGGGUUCGAUUCCCGCCCACGCCUCAA